AGAAACCAGUGAACACUUCGUCGAAGAUCACGGGGAUCUUUCGUGCCCGGCAGCUCGUCACGAGGAUCCGCUGGAAGACCGGAUCAAUCAUAUGCAUCCCACCAGCUCCAUGGAUAACUGCAGAGUAGUGACCGCAUAUUUAGAACAAGCGCCUGCAACUCGUUUGACUUUUACCAUGGGGAACGUUCUUGUCACUAAAGUCAACGUGCCCACUGUCAAAUGGAGCUCAGGAACAUGAAUCAUGGGUCGGUUUCCGAACCCAAAAAAAAAAGUGACGAAGAUUCUAUGCAAGGAAAUAGAGACUUUCCUGGCUCCAUAAUCAGUGCACCAGCACAGAUCGAUCCGCUGCCUACAGAGAGCUGUGAUAACUUCUCUGCGAUAUAAGCAGAAUAUUCUUCUGCGAGAGCUGAAGAUUCC
rnacentral:lncRNA from 1 species